rnacentral:rRNA from 1 species
GACAGAGGCCUCAAGCGUUAGGCGGAAUCACUGGGCUUAAAGCGUGUGUAGGCGGAUCGUUAAGUGUCUUGUGAAAUCCCACGGCUCACCCGUGGAACGGCUGGGCAUACUGGCGAUCUUGGGCCAACUAGGGGCAACUGGAACAAGCGGUGGAGCGGUGAAAUGCGUAGAUAUCGCUUGGAACGCCGAAGGUGAAAACAGGUUGCUGGGGUUGUGCCGACGCUGAGACACGAAAGCCAGGGGAGCAAACGGGG